AAUACAGUGUAGAUACUGUUAACGUUGUAAAUGACUAUUGUAGAUGGAAACGGCUGAUUUUCUAUGGAAUAUCUACAUAGGAGGCCCACAGGAGAACACCGAGAAUGCGGUCCAUGCCACCAAGUCUGUGGAGACCACACGUGCUCACCUGCAGGGCCAGCUACACAGCAAAGAGGCUGACAACAACCGUCUCACCGUGCAGCUCCGGGGUUUGGAGAGGCAGCUGACUGAGCAGAAGAUGGAGAUGGUCUGAGGGGGGAGAUCUCCAGUGUGUCCAGUGUGUCUGAGAAGGCAGAACAGGAGAAAGAGGGCCUGAAGAAGGCCACCCGUGCCCAGAAACAGAGGGCCGAGAGGUUCGAAGCUGCUGUGGAUAAAUGUUACACUCAGCUGAGGGAGAAGAAAACCAUCACUGGCCCAGGGAGGUAUGACAUCCAGGAUUUCACUGAGAACCGGGAGAAGAAGCCAUGCACUGUGAGACGUGACAUCAGUAAGGUGUAAAGACUUCAUGAAGAGGACCUGAGCCCUAGGACCAUGCCUCAGGACUACCUGGCAUGAUGACUCCUUGCUGUCCCCAGUCCACCUGGCCUUGCUGCUGCUCCAGUUUCAACUGUCCUGACUGUGAUUAUUAUUAUUUGACCAUGCUGGUCAUUUAUGAACAUUUGAACACCGCGGCCAUGUUCUGUUAUAAUCUCCACUCGGCACAGCCAGAAGAGGACUGGCCACCCCACAUAGCCUGGUCCCUCUCUAGGUUUAUUCCUAGGUUUUGGCCUUUCUAGGGAGUUUUUCCAAGCCACCUUGUUUCUACACCUGUACUGCAUUGUUUGGGGUUUUAGGCUGGGUUUCUGUACAGCACUUUGAGAUAUCAGCUGAUGUACGAAGGGCUAUAUGAAUACAUUUGUGGAACUGGAAAAGCGUGUGCGAGCAAGGAGGCCUUCAAACCUGACUCAGUUAGACCAGCUCUGCCAAGAGGAAUGGGCCAAAAUUCACCCAACUUAUUGUGGGAAGCUGUGGAAGGCUACCCGAAAUGUUUGACCCAAGUUAAACAAUUUAAAGGCAAUGUUACCAAAUACUAAUUGAGUGUAUGUAAACUUCUGACCCACUGGGAAUGUGAUGAAAGAAAUACAAGCUGAAAUAAAU